CUUCCUGCUGUCUGGAUUCGGCAACAUCGUUGGAAGCGGAGAGAAGCACAGCGGCCUGAAUCACACUCAGCCUGGCCACUCAAGUCUGUGAUAGAUACCAAAAUGUUCAGCUCGGUUCGUCCUCCUGCUUGUUCAUCUCGUGGCUGUGAGCUGACUGGACGAAACGAGAUUGAGGUGGGAGUGGCGCGGCGACUGCAGGAUUCACGCCGCCUCAUCUCCCUCGUGCACUUCCCGUCGUGAGGAGGUGAGAGGACCGCCCCUUGUGUUUUGUUGCGAUGACUGGGAACUUGAGUGUGGCGCCGCGCGACUGUCACGUCCCACGUGUGUCCCGCUGGAGGUGUCUGUGUUGUGGAGCACCGAGCGUCCCUCUGCGCCACGUGGGGUUGACGGGACCAACGUGAAGGUGACGACUUAGAGAGUUCCCCGCCCGGUACCGCAAAGAGCUGCCAGUCACCCUUAAGGCUACAACUUGCAGAUGGGCCCUAAACAUGGGACACCUCCACGGCGGGUUGCAUAAGAAGGUGAGAUUGAUCACCUGACCGUUCAUUAAGGGACUCGGCGAUCUUGUCACUGACUCCUUCGCGCUCCAUUUGUCUUCAUGGAGAGCAGCACCCGACCUCCACCGCCUCCCCCGCCCACCAGCCGCAGCCGCUCAGCCAACCCAACACCCAGAUGGAAAGAGAAGGGGAAGAGGAGGAGUGGUGUGUGCGAGGAAACAUCACAGCACAUUGAAUGAAGACCCCCACGAGGCUCUUGUAUAGAAAACGAAUUGACAGAACCUAUACAGAACGUCUGGACAUGUUGAAGCUGAUUUAGCACGUAUCUUCACCAAACCUGAUGCUGUAAGGAAGUCGUGCUC